AAACCAAAAAAAAAAAAAAAAAAAAAAAAAAAAAAUUGCAAUGUGUUUGCAUUCUGUUUUUUUCCAGUGAAUACAAGUAAAAAAAAAUCAUGUUUUCCAUAUCCCUUACAUUAUUAAACACUUCACGUAUUACAGGUGAAAAACCAAUUAUCCUAAGAACCCAUGUACAUUCUCGUCUAAGUAACUAAGUAACAGAAUGUGAGCGAACAGGGUACUUUUUCUCUGCCAAUCCUUUUGUUGGGUAGGCCGCAUAUGGCGGUUACAAAGAAAGAAUCGCCACUGCAUUAUUUAUCUUGAGAAGCUAUCUUGAAAGAAAUCUUAGAGGAAUCUCAAACCUAAACUUUUAUGCAUGAAAAACAAUCAGUCAGCUCUACUUUAAGUCUUUAGAAUAUAUACGUACUCAUCAACAGUUUGUAUAUCAGGAGACGGAGGGCGGAAAAGGGUAUAAGGAAUUAAUCAUCACCUUUGGUCAUCUGCCAGUCCUAUCAAGAAAGGUACACCAGCUUUGUUCUUGUUCCUUGACCUUAACAAGUUCCUCAUUCAACUACAUGACUUUCUGCAACUUUAGAUUGUUUACUUGGGCUUUUCACCUCAAAGCUGUUUAACAAAAAGCAUCUAAUCUAACCUUAAGUUAUUUUCAAAGCUUUGUUUCAGCUAUGAUGCACUCUAAAACCCGUGAACAUAUCUCCCAACACUAAGAUUAGAAGAACUUAAACUAGCUGGGCUACUGGGACUUAAUUAUUUUUCUUAAUCUUUUUUUUUUAUUUAUUAUGUACACAGUGGUUGUGCCUCCAUGUAAUCCUGCAGGCCAGAAGGCACCAGAUCUCAUUGUAGCUGGCUGUGAGCCACCAUGCGAUUGCUGGGAAUUGAACUCAGGACCUCUGGAAGAACAGUCAGUGUUCAUAAUCUCUGAGCCAUCUCUCCAGCCCCUAUUUUUCUUAAUCUUUAACCACAGUCUAUGGCUCCUCAAUAGAAACUCAUAUGUUCUAGCUGUGUGACACUUCCUUGUUUUAUUUUUUAUCUUCAAAACUUUACUUAAACUAACAUUAUUGUUAUCAAUUAGAUAGAACCGCUUAGGAAGAAAUCAUCUUCAUAUAAUCCACAGGUAGAAAUGCCCAGUAGAGUGCUCGCUUCGGCAGCACAUAUACUAAAAUUGGAACAAUACAGAGAAGAUUAGCAUGGCCCCUGCGCAAGGAUGACACGCAAAUUCGUGAAGCGUUCCAUAUUUUUAUAUGUCAAAAAAAAAAAAAAAAGAAAUGCCCAGUAGAAUGGGAUGCUUCCAGGAGACACAGGCAGUGGGAUCUCCCCACACCCACUUACACCAGAGCAGAUGCCAGAGGAAGAGGGCAGCAGCAAACGUGAAGGCCCGGCAGAAGCAAAGGACCUUGUCUACUUGAGAUUCACCCCUCAGGGAUUUUCCUCCUGAUGGCUGACACCUGAAGUGAGUUACUUUCCACUGCUACUCCUCUGACAUGGCCACCAGCAACAGGACCAGAGAGAUGGCUCAUGGGAAAAGGUACUGCUGCCAGGCCAAGGACCUAAGAUCAAUCCCAAGCACCCUCGUGAUAGAAGAGGACUCACACUCUGACCAUUCACACACACCAAGGCAGGAAAGUGUGUACAAACAGAUAAAUAACUAAGGAAGAAAAUCUUUUUAAAGAGUCUUUACAAUAUUCAUUUAUUUGUCAAAGCAACCCAACGUGGGUACAGUGUCGCCUGUGUAAGACAGGGAGACUAAGGUACACAGGAAUGAGUGAUUUGAGCUUACAUGGCUAGUAAGGGACAGAAUUGGGAGUCAAACCCAGUAGUCCCUAUCUCAGCCAUAAACCAUGUUGCUUUUUUGAGUAUUAAAAAUAUAUAUUUUACCAUGAGGCUCAUGGCUUGUUUCCUCACAUCUUGCUUCCCCAGCAGCUACUAGUGCCUCCCUUGACUGCCUUCUUUCUCCCUACAUCUGUUUGGAUUUCUUGCCUAGCUGUAUUCCACUCUACCCUAGACCAAAGCAGAUUCUUUAUUAACCAAUAGUAUUAAAAACAUAUUCACAGCACACAGAAAGGCCUCCCACAUCAUGUAGCCAUGUCUGGCUUUUUAUCUGGGCGGUAGACAGCUAAAUGCACACCCUCAUGAUGUUCUGUGAACUCUGACUCUUUGAGGUAGGAGGGCUGGCUACAGAGAGAGGACUUGAGUGUUGUCUGUGGACAUACUGUUGCAGCUUGCUGGUUGGCAGGGACCUUAAAACACCAUAGAGUUGUGGCAAUAAACAUGGCUACAGCUGGUACCUCUGCUGACAAGGCUGGAAAGCUAAGGAAUGAGCUGGAUCUAGCCGGCAAAGCCAUGGCUUUAAUCCUCUCCAUAAAGACUCAUGUAGUCAGAAAAAGAGAGAUAUACAGUAAAGAGAGAUUCAAAGACGAAGAAAACCUCGUAAUAGUUUACAGUGUGUUCAAAAUAUAUGGAGGCUAAAGGUUAAAGUCCUUAAAAAUAAAAAAGAGAGAGUAGUUGGGUGUGGGGGUAUACACCUUUAAUCCCAACACUUGGGAGGCAGAGGUAGAUUGACCUCUGUGACUUCAAGGUGUGGUAGCACACACUUUUAAUCCCAAUAUGGGAGGCAGAGACAGAUAGUUCUCUGUGAGUUCAAGGUGUUGUAGCACACACCUUUAAUCCCAGCACUGGGGAGGCAGAGACAGGCAGACCUCUGUGAGUUCAAGAACAGUCUGGUCUACAGAGUUACUCCAGGAACACAGAGAACCUGUCUCAAAAGCUAAAAGUAAAACUAAAAGAAAUAGAGGUUAAAAUAAAGCUGCAUAAAGAUGGAAAAUACACAGAGAAUCUUGAUACUGUAUGCUAUCAUGGUCUCUUUAAUGUUUGAAUGCUGAGGAAGGAACAGCUGAUAAAAGAUAUUUGCUUAUGAAUGCUGUUGAACUAUUUCAAGAUAGAUAUUUUAAAAAUACCUUGACUUCAAAAUUAAAGUCAAAAGGUAUGUUACUUUGGAGAAGAAAUUUUUCUUUUGUUUCCACAGGAAAUGAGAGGCUGUGGAUCAGCGCCCAAAGUGGGGCAUGAACCCAUGACCCUAAGAUUAAGAGUCUCAUGUUCUACCUACUGAGCUAGCUCUACCAUGUUGGACUGGGCAGGACAAGCCCGCAGUACCUGUUUUUGACCUAGGAAUGUCACAGCUUAGAUUCUUAAGUGCUUAGUGAUUUAAAACUACAAAGCAAAAAUGCUCAUGGAUAGUAAAAAAUUACAGAUUCACAAUAGGACAGAUUCAGACAUAAAAGACCUCUAAAUGGGUCAUAUUGUUAGAUAAAUGUAGGCUUGGGAGAGAAAGAAAAAGAGUAUAAAGAGUCAUAAAGUUAAUAUUAAAAAAGGGGUAAAGUCUUUAAAGAGACAGAGUACAGAUAAUUAUAAAUUAAAAGAAAUAAAAAUAAGCCACGUAAAAAUGGAAAAUUCACAGAGAGUUUGGAUUCUGUAUAUUGUGUUUUCUUUGAAUUUUUUGACUGUAAAGAAGUACAGAGGCACAUAUCAUUGUGUGGGCUGCUAAGAUAAACCAGGACGUAUAUUAUAAAGCUAUCUUGACUUCAGAAUUUGGAUCUAAGAAUAUGAUGCUUUGGAAAAGAUGUUCUUUUUUUUUGUUUUCACAGAGGAUGAGACCCUGUGGAUUGCUUCUAUCCCAAUAUAGUAUGAUAGACCACGCCCUCCUGAAAGGUUGUUGUGAACACCCUGAAAAAAUUACUUUGCUCAACUGCUGACUGAGAUGAACCUGGCAUACAGGUUACACCAUGAAAGACCUGAUUAACAGCGCCCUAUACAGCAGGAAGCAGUUUGGAGAGAAAUAACUGUGUCCAUAUUCCCAAAUAUUGUUUAUAAAUGUUCUUUUAUAUUUAAAGGGGGAUAUGAUAUAGAUAUGAAUAAUUUGCAUUGGUAUGGAUUUUAAGGUCAAUCUUGUUAUAUGUAUAUGUAUUUCUGCUCUUGAUUAAGGUAUUGUGAUUGUGUAGUUCAUUUAAAAAUGUAAUGUUUAAUUAGGAAAUAUAGGUUGUUAAUGGAUAAUCAUCGGUAAUAGUUAGGCUUGUAGUCAUGUUAGUUAGACUUUCUAGGUGUGCAUAGAUAUAUUUCAUAUAGGCAUUCUUCAUAUCUUUCAAAGACUACAGAAUAUGGUAUUUAAUGUUUUAAAAAUUUAGGGCUUUUCAUGACUAUGAGACACGUCUGCUCCUGGCAGCACCAAUCUACUUCAAGAGGAAGAUGGGCAUCGAAGAGGCUCCUUACGGAGUUGGUUAGCCAUUUGGGCAAGAAACUGUUCUUGUCUGGACUGUUGCAUAAACUGGACACAGAGAACCCACAGAGAGAGGACUGCUGAACUUGCCUAAAGGAGACCAGUUCUAUGGCUGGUGUUGCGACUGUGAUGACAACAGAGUGAAUGGAGGACUGGCAGCAAGGCUGGCUGUUGUCCUGAAGACCGCUAGCAGGGGCAGCAAGGCUGGCUGUUGUCCUGAAGACCGCUAGCAGGGGGCGCGCGAGUGAAGAGACUCCGCACUGCAGUCUACCCACAAUUCCCUCUUCCUGCUGAGAAAGUACCUCUCACACCUCCCUGCAACCGGGCCUUGCACCAGCCCAGUUGGUCUGGAUCGCGUCAGUAACCCCUGCACAUUGGUCUAGGUAGUGGCGAGCAUGUGGCUCAGGUCAAAGUGAGCUGAGGGGAGGCAACAUGGCCAAGAGGCAUCCGAUUGGUCAUUUUGGCAGCUCCAUUGAAAAUGGACGCACAAAGAGGCAGGAGGAAACUGGGGGCUUUACCGGUACUUAUUUCAUUAGACACUCUAGCCUUUUGGCAUCCAUGUUCUCAAUUUUCCCACCUACCUCCUAACCUUGGUCCAUGCUACUCACUCUUAAUGUGGGAUUCCCCUCUGUAUGCUGUGGAUACCAUUGGUGAAUAAAGAAACUGCUUUGGACAGAACUUAGCUAGGCAGGGAAAACUAAACUGAAUGCUGGGAGAAAGAAGGCAGAGUCAAAGAGAAGCCAUGGUGAUAGACAAACUGAAACCUUGCCAGUAGGCCACAAGCCUUGUAGUAAAAUAUAAAAUAAUGGAUAUGGGUUAAUUCUAGAUGUAAGAGCUAGCUAACAAUAUGUUUAAGUAAUUGGCCAAGCAGUGUAUUAAUUAAUA